GCCUGGGUGGCUCAGUCGGUUGAGCGUCUGGCUUCGGAUCAGGUCAUGAUCUCGUGGUCCGUGAGUUCGAGCCCCACAUCAGGCU
rnacentral:tRNA from 1 species